CAGAUGUUCAAAAUGCCAUCUCUUCCAACAGUGCAUGUAAUCUUGUCUGUUUAAACAUAUCCGCGAUGCAGGCCUGAGGAUUUCAGAAAUUCACAGAAACAAUUUUUCGGUUCUGUUAGAUUACCCAAUGAGAAAUCACUGUAAGAUUUUGGGUUCCGUAAACGCUCAUCGUGGGAAGCCAUUUUUGUAUUUUGAUUGAUAUCCUUCAUCAAGAAUUCUGAUACUCAAAAGUAUAAUAUUUAAAGGAUAAAUGUUUGAAAACUUCGCAUUAACAAUAGAGGUAUCGGGCCGCCCAAGCCCGACCCGACCCGACUCGAAGUCGGGCCUUAAAAUGUCAAUCAUAGCUUCGGUUUCGGGUCGGGUCCGGCUUCUCUCUCGCUGACUUUUUUUUUGUUUCAAGGCCUUGAAUAGUUUUGGCCACGAGAGACAGUGGUUCGCAAAAAAAAAAAAAAAACAGAAGUCACCUCAUCACAACACAUACUGUACUAAAUUCUUGCAAUGACAAUUCAAAGACCUCCUUCCAGUCUCUGUCGAGAAUCCACCCGUCAUUGUUCGUCUUUGUCUCCCUACUACUCUCUCUUAAAGUGCCACGCUAGAUUCUUAAGAACGUACUGCUGCGGUGGUUUACGGCCCAAUUUUCAACCCGUCAAAAUGACGGACGGCCUUAAAUUUUUCCCGUCCACAAAAUCCGUCAAUGAUGGAAAAUUGUCGGUUAAUGUAACCUCUUCAGAAACAAAUAAAAGAUGUAAAUGUUUACACAUUCUUAUUUAACUUAGAUUUCGUUACAAAAGGCAGGCUUUGUUAUCAGAAAUCACCCCUCCUCCACCCGAGUCCUCACAAAUAAAAUGUGAAAUGUCGGGUUUGCUUCGGGCUCGGGCCUGCAAAUCAAGUUAAGUAAUCGGGCUCGGGUCGGGGUUAAAUACCCUCAGGCCGGUUCAGGUCGGGCUCGAUUUUUUAGGACCGAUCUUAGCUCUAAUUAACAAUGAACAUAAUUACAUCAGCAGCUGUCUACUUCAGGUUUAUUCAAUACAAUAAAAGGAGUAUUUUUUUCUCCACUCUCACACUGCAAAGAUUCAUUUACUGGUAAUUAUUAAGAAAUCUAUGACUCAUAUCAACCAACAACGGAAUCAUCUUGAUUUUUAAAACAGGAGAUGUUGAAACAAACUCCACAAUUAAAUGAUUCAACACUUAAUUGUUAACACAAUGCAGAAGUUAUUAAAAUUGCUCAAAAUCCAAAAAAACAGAACCCUUUCAAAGCAGUCAACACGCAAUGUUUUGUUUUUUUGGUCUGCAACGGUCUUCACCCUGGGCGGUUCUUCCAUGGCACGCACGACAUCCCUGAUCAUGGCGGCCCAAGCGCGGCGAUCCUGUGCAAGGUCAACCGACAGCUUCAGCCAGUCCUGGUUCCACCGUCUCAGACGGAAAGGGAGAAGCACAAGGAGUCCACAAGGAAAUGUCCGCACGAGGAACAAGAAGCUGCAGGAGAUGGCAACAGAGUCCACUGGUGUGUUGACGGCACGAACUUGCACUGGGGAAUGGUCUGCGAUUCAAUUUGUACCAGUCCAAACAAGCAGAAAGGCAACAGGUGGGUGAUGAGCUGAUGAGUCUCAGGUGUGAGGUGCAGAGCACCCUGACUGAGGAGGCUGCCUGGCUGGCCCCUCCCUAACACAUGCAUCACACGACAUCUUGGUAAUAGGCCCUUCUUCGUCUCGUCACAUUUUUUUUUUAAAUUGUUUUUAUUUAUAAAUCCUACUUCACGGAUUUCACUUAUCACUGGUUCUUUUUGGAACGUAACCCCCACGAUAACUGAGGGUUUACCGUCAACCCGUUUUGCCCAAAAUUAUUUUUAAGUCAUGGAUUAUCGCACAUGUUGGCAGGGGGGGAUAGUGUCUCUUGUCCAGAAACAUACAACUUUUGGUUUUAACCAAUGUUCGAAAAAAAAAAAUGAGGGGCUCGUUUUAAUACACAAGGUAAUUUGUACAGGAUGUAAAAUGGGGUCAGUUUCUUCGAGUUAUAUUUCCAUUUCAGAUAUUGCACAUGGGUUUCAUUAAAUUGAGCCAAAAUAAGGGGAAGCCAUUGUCACGUUCAGGCAAGCCGAAAUAAAGUUGGGAUCCCAGAAGUGUAGACACCAAACAAGGUCUCCGUAGCAAGAAGGGUUUAAUAUACAAAAAUCGCACGGCCAAAGAAGUAACAUAAAGUGCUGGUCGAAACAAGGACCAGAGGGCACAAAAACGAAUAACAAAAAGCGCUUGCACAAAAGGCAGGGGAGGAAAUAAUAAGAACCGCGAAGGCAAACAAAAAAAAAUGUAGUAGUGAUGGGUCCAGCGACACCGAUGCAUUGACACAUGCGCCGGGCUCACAGAGCAAACCACGUGUCGAUGCAUGUGCUGCUUCAUUACGUCACGUGAUUGACACACCGGCUGCGUUGACACAGUCCAGGCUUCUAAUUGACACACCGGCUGCGUUGACACAGUCCAGGCUGCUAAUUGACACAUCGACUGUGUUGACACAGUCCAGGCUGCUAAUUGACACAUCGGCUGCGUUGACACAGUCCAGGCUGCUAAUUGACACGUGAACUGCACCGGUGCAGUUUAGACUGCAUCGGCUGCUUGGCACAGUACAGGCUGCGCCACUUAGUCCAGGGGGCGUCGACUCAGUGCAGAGGGCGUUGACGCAGCAAAAGCCCGCCGCACAGUGUUUAUAAGGAAGUGCGUUUGGCGACACAAUGCCACCUGCCGAAACAAGCCAGACCUCACUCACGCUCGCUUGUCGAAGUUCGUGUCAGUGCAGACUUCGUGUUCGUGCCUUGCCUUCCUUGCCGAUUAUGGAGCAGAGACGCAAAUCAUCCGCCGUGUGGGACCAUUUUAAUGUCCUGGAGAAUAAGGUAUUAUUUAUUUAUUUAUUCAAAUCGCCUUCUGUCGCCGAGUGCCUCUCAGAUUAUUGACAUGUGUUAUACCAUUCUAAUCCGAAUACAUUUCAAGGUAACUCUUAGUUACUUCUUAUUCACAUUUCAUUAUAGGUGAAAUGUCGAAUUUGCCAGGUCGAAUUGUCAUACACCAACAGAAGCACCUCCACCAUGCUAAGGCAUUAUCGGGCCAAGCAUGAGAAUGAAGUUCGCGAUACACCCAGUGUUACGCCAGCUUCCAGGAAGCUGCUGCUCGAUCAGGCACUGCUGAACUUCAUUAUCAAGGACUGCCAGCCCCUCAGCAUUGUGGAGAGUGAAGGGUUCAAGGAGCUGAUUCAGGUCCUUGAACCCUCAUAUGUUUGCCGACAAGAAAGACCAUCAAGAAAAUGGUGGCCGAAAAAUAUAUGGAGGAACGGGAAAAAGUGAAAAUGGAAGUACAGCAAGCUGUGGCAGUGAGUAUAACGACUGACAUGUGGACCUCUGUGAACAUGGAGGCCUACUUGGCACUCACCUGUCACUACAUUAAUGCAAAUAUGCAGUUGUGUUCAUCAGUGUUGGGAGUACAAUAUUUUCCACAAAAUCACACUGCUGACAAUUUGGCCCAGGUCAAAAGGGGCAUGAUGGAGGACUGGGCCAUAACCAACAAAGUAAAGUGCCUUGUGACUGACGCAGCACCGAACAUGAUUGCAUCCACUAAACACCUCCAAAUACGCCACUCAAUUUGCAUUGCACAUAGUCUUAAUUCAUUAGUUAGAAAAUCGUGCAAUCAGGUCCCUGCACUUACAGACAUUAGGAACAAAGCUCGGCACAUUGUUACAUAACACCGUUCAAGCACUAUAGCCAAGGAGAAGCUUGCUCAGGUGCAGCAACAGAUGGGACGUCCAACCCUGAAACUUAUCAAUGAGGUGCCAACACGCUGGAACAGUACCUAUGAAAUGCUGUCAAGGCUGCAUGGUGAGAGGGAACCAGUGUGGGUAUCUCUGGCCUCCCUAAAGACAGAUUUGGCUCCACUGACAGCUGAUGAGUUCACCAUCAUAGGAGAAGCACUACUUGUGCUUUCUCCAUUCCAUCAAGCUACAGUGGAGUUGUCUGAAGAGAGGAAAGUUUCAGGUUCGAAGGUCAUCCCGAUGAUGAAAAUGCUUUAUCAUGCACUUGAGCGCCACGCUUCAACCCUGCACACACAGCCAGUCUUACAACUCCACGAACACCUCAAGCGUCGAGUCACAGACACUGCUUCCAGUUUGCAGUCUAUGAGUGUGUUAACCUUAGCAACACUUCUAGACCCCAGAUUCAAAUCACUUGGAUUCCGCAGUUCCUCCAGGUGCACCGAGGCCAUAUCCAGACUGCGGGCUGAGUGCAUGCGUGCCAUUGGGUGCACAAUCUAGGCCCAGGCUGGACCAUCAUCGCAGCCCUCUGCAACUAC